GCACUUUAGUCUACAAGGAGAGAGUUUGAUUGUUAAGAUCCGCCAACUACAUUUUUUUAUGAUGGUCAUCAAAAGAAAUUCAGCGCAUGGGGAAAUGUUUAUCCCGAUUUAAAUGUUCCCAAAUCGGGUCAUAUUCGAGGAUGUCUGUGUGGAGCUGGAAGCGUAGCGGAUGGCUGGUUGGAACUUGUGCAGCGCUGAUUUUGAUAUCCGUUCUAGUCAGUCUAGCCUCUAUUGGUUUCCGGUCGAAUUUCACCUCCUUCACGGAGCAACUAAGCUUUGAUGGUGGAUCUUAUCCAGAACUUGGAGUAUUUAAUAUUUUAUUAUAUGCAUCAACUCUAAGUGGAGUUACGUGUGUUUUCCUUCGAUAUGUCUACAUAACAGACAGAAAUGAAGUCUUGGGUAGCAGUGCUAAUUUUUUGAACAAAAUUAGUAUCAUGCCUGGAAUAGCUUCUUUUGUGGGAUUGUUACUGAUUGCUGCGUUUCCUACCAGCUCGAAGAAAAAUGUAUCCAAAAUAAGGAAGUGCAGACAAUUGGGGCGUACCUGUUUUGCAUCUUAGGACUUAUAUAUUCGGUAGCACAGGUUACACUUACUGGUUUAUACUCACGGUGCACUCCAACAUUCAUUUUGAGAACAGUACUACUUUUGAUUAUGGCUGGAGGAUUUGUGAGUUCUGCCACGCUAAUUAGUAUUAGCAUGAAAAAUGCUACAGGAAAUGAAACUUUUUCUGAACCUGCAAAGGAAAAUCAUUUCAACAAAACUGUGGUUAUGGAAAAGCGAGUAGCAGCUUUCGCGCUGGAACAGGUAUUUAUAGUUGCAUAUGGACUACUAUUCUUGAGUUUCUUCGCAGAGUUUCAAACCAUAUCGACCUACUUAAUUAUGAGACCACUAAUACUGUCCACUCCAAGUGAUUAUAGCAGUGCUUGGACAGUAAACGAGAGAGUGUAGCAAAAGUCAUUUGCUUCAAUUUGUCAUUUAUGUACUGCAUCUUUUGAAUGUUUUACUUGUAUGGAAUUUAUUGAAUUGCAUGAAAUUGACUAGAAA